rnacentral:rRNA from 1 species
GACGAACGCUGGCGGCGUGCUUAACACAUGCAAGUCGAACGGAAAGGCCCUGCUUUUGUGGGGUGCUCGAGUGGCGAACGGGUGAGUAACACGUGAGUAACCUGCCCUUGACUUUGGGAUAACUUCAGGAAACUGGGGCUAAUACCGGAUAGGAGCUCCUGCUGCAUGGUGGGGGUUGGAAAGUUUCGGCGGUUGGGGAUGGACUCGCGGCUUAUCAGCUUGUUGGUGGGGUAGUGGCUUACCAAGGCUUUGACGGGUAGCCGGCCUGAGAGGGUGACCGGCCACAUUGGGACUGAGAUACGGCCCAGACUCCUACGGGAGGCAGCAGUGGGGAAUAUUGCACAAUGGGCGGAAGCCUGAUGCAGCAACGCCGCGUGCGGGAUGACGGCCUUCGGGUUGUAAACCGCUUUCGCCUGUGACGAAGCGUGAGUGACGGUAAUGGGUAAAGAAGCACCGGCUAACUACGUGCCAGCAGCCGCGGUGAUACGUAGGGUGCGAGCGUUGUCCGGAUUUAUUGGGCGUAAAGGGCUCGUAGGUGGUUGAUCGCGUCGGAAGUGUAAUCUUGGGGCUUAACCCUGAGCGUGCUUUCGAUACGGGUUGACUUGAGGAAGGUAGGGGAGAAUGGAAUUCCUGGUGGAGCGGUGGAAUGCGCAGAUAUCAGGAGGAACACCAGUGGCGAAGGCGGUUCUCUGGGCCUUUCCUGACGCUGAGGAGCGAAAGCGUGGGGAGCGAACAGGCUUAGAUACCCUGGUAGUCCACGCUGUAAACGGUGGGUACUAGGUGUGGGGUCCAUUCCACGGGUUCCGUGCCGUAGCUAACGCUUUAAGUACCCCGCCUGGGGAGUACGGCCGCAAGGCUAAAACUCAAAGGAAUUGACGGGGCCCCGCACAAGCGGCGGAGCAUGCGGAUUAAUUCGAUGCAACGCGUAGAACCUUACCUGGGUUUGACAUGGAUCGGGAGUGCUCAGAGAUGGGUGUGCCUCUUUUGGGGUCGGUUCACAGGUGGUGCAUGGCUGUCGUCAGCUCGUGUCGUGAGAUGUUGGGUUAAGUCCCGCAACGAGCGCAACCCUUGUUCACUGUUGCCAGCACGUUAUGGUGGGGACUCAGUGGAGACCGCCGGGGUCAACUCGGGGGAAGGUGGGGAUGACGUCAAGUCAUCAUGCCCCUUAUGUCCAGGGCUUCACGCAUGCUACAAUGGCUGGUACAGAGAGUGGCGAGCCUGUGAGGGUGAGCGAAUCUCGGAAAGCCGGUCUCAGUUCGGAUUGGGGUCUGCAACUCGACCUCAUGAAGUCGGAGUCGCUAGUAAUCGCAGAUCAGCAACGCUGCGGUGAAUACGUUCCCGGGGCU